UCUGCCACGGGAGCUGCCAUCCUGGAUAGUCUGUCAGGCAUGUUCCUGAUUCUGGUCCUAGAGACCUGGAUAGCCCUGCCCCUCUCCCUGUCUGCCCAGGCUCAGUGAUGCUACCCUGCCUAGCGGUCUUCCUAGAACAUAGAGCCUUGGCUGGUCCCUUGGGACCCCGGGGUUGGGACAGCCUGUCUGCUCUACCCUGCCCAUCCCCCACAGCACAGAGCAAGGCUCACUCAGAUUAAUUAAUCUGCUGCCCAGCCCGCUCCUCCGGCUUAUCUUUUAUUCAUGGACAAGCAGCGUUCUUCGCUUUACGAGGACGGGCAUCAAUAUUUCAUCUCGCUUAGCCUGCCAGCUCCUGGCUCCUCUCCACCCCCACUCUGCUUCCCACUGGCUUUAGGACCUAGAGGGCUGGGUAUGCUGGCCAGCCCAGAGUCAUCAGAUGGCAGGCUGCCUUCUCGGGCCUCUGACCUGUUCUCCACACCAUCCCUGGCAGAGCAGGGAUCUGCCUGGAUACCUGUCUUCAUAUGCCUAAUAAGUUCCUGCUACGCCCUAGACAUGGCUUGCUGAUGAUGAAAUGACAGAAGACGUCUGCAGAGAGGAAAGGAAACAAGACGUUCGAAGGACUCAGGUGCAAACGGAAGCAUUACUGUGCUCAGUCAGCAAACAGGCAACCUCCGGGCAUCCCCAAGUCCUGUCCCAGAGUCCUUCCAGCCCCACGUCCCACACAGCUGAACAAAGGAGGAGCAAGGAGGUUUGUUCCACAUCAGGCAGACAACAGAAAGGACUUCCAGUCCAGUCCAAAUCAGGAGACUCAUGAAUCUAAUUGUCUGUGGGCCGUCAGAAAGAGAUUCACACACAUCUGUGCUGGAUGACAGAUUGACCAGGGAAGAGUCAGGGGCAUAACUGUAAUGACCCUUCCUAACCUUGUUAAAGUGUUCCUUGUGGCCCAGGUCUACCUGCUCUUAGGUUCCCAUGGAUGGCUCAAGCACCAUUAAGCAUCUUGGAAUAAAAAUCUGACUUCAGAAUCAAUUGAUGGAGAAAGGUUCCUCAAACAUUUCCCAUAGAAGGUAAUUAAAUUCCAAUAGGAGAAGAUGGAGCGGCUGGUGACGGGCGGUGGGGGCCCCCGCGCUGGCGCCGGGCUGCUGAGCAAUGAAAUCACGGGCGUGCGCAGCUCAGAGCUGGCAGCCGCACAGAGGAAACGGGAGCAGUCAAAUAUCUCCCUCCUUGUUGAGUUCCAUUUACAUGUUUAUAAUAGAGGUUCUUAAGGCCCUAAUGAGAAGGCUGCUCAUUGCAGGGAAGAGGAUGAUUAAGGUUCUGCCAGACGAGAUCAGGGACGGGAACAAAGGACUGUUAAUUACUACAGAGGGACCAGGGAGAGCCAGGCCCAGGCUCACCCAAAAGCCUUGCCAGACUGGUGCCGCUCUGCUUUCCCAACAUCCCCUGCGCAGAUGACUCCUGAGGAGUGGGCGGGGCAGCUCUGGGGGCUACAUUCUCUGUCUCUGGGGCCACAUUCAAAGACUCUCCCAAGGGAGUAAUUCCAGGCUGGACCGUGGAGCAUGCUGCUGUCUAAUCUGAAGAUGCCCCUUGGGGAUCGAGGGAGCAGAAGACACCACACUGCUUGCUUGGUCACUGUGUGGCUCACUCGAAAGCGUCUUACUUGAACUUUGGGCCUUAUAAAGGGACAUCACCGGAGACAGAUGAAAAAUCUCCUCUGCCCAGCCUGGCGGAUGCCCAAGAGACUUAGAUCCAGGUCAGAAUCAUGUCUCCUGAUGCCAAAGUGGGGCCUUGUUGGCAACUAGAGUUCAUGGUAUGUGAGAAAAUGACAGAUGUACUUGUCAUGUUCUGAGAACUAUCCCAUAUUACUAAACAUCGACUGCGUUCAUGCACUGAGUGCCUGUACCGACGUGAACUAUAUGGCCAUGUUCUGAGCACCUGUACCAGCAUCCUGCACUGGGCACCUACAGCUCUGUGCACGAAGAACCUACACCAUUGUUCACCAAGCAAAUAUACAGUUGCGUGCACUGAGCGCCCGUGGUGUCCUAGACUUUGUUGAUAUUACAUCAUCAAGCUUUCAAACCCACCCAGAGUGUAGAUGAGUUAUCCAUUUAUCCGCUCAGCCUGAAAAGGCAGAGGUCCCAAGAAGUUAAUGAUCUACACGGGGCACCUCACUAGUCAAGGUAGUCACCUCACUAGCAGACAUGGGCUUUGAACCCUGGUCUGACCCUAAGCCUGUUGAUCCCAAUCAGUACAUGAUAGUGGAUGCUCAGGAGACAGUGGUACACCAUGUAUGGUGGUGUAGACCAUCAGUGCAUGGUGGUGUGGAUGCUCAGUGCGUGGUGGUGUAGAUACUCAGUGCAUGGUGGUGUAGACAGUCUGUGGUGGUGUAGAUGAUCAGUGCAUGGUGGUGUAGACAGUGCAUGGUGCUCAGUAUACAAUGUGGAUGCCCAGUUCAGAGUGGUGUACAUGCCUAGCACACAGUAGCAUAGGUGCUCAGUAUACAAUGCAGGCGUUCAGUACAGUAGUAUAGGCUCUCAAUAUACUACAGUAGAUGUGCUCAGUGCAGAAUAGUAACCUCCCCAUUCUUUGGGUAUGAAUUGGGGGGGUCUGAGGCUGAAGACAUUGGAAAUCUCCCUAUGCCUCCUGUAGAUACUAAGGGCUAACUGAAUGUAUGCAUAGGCCAGUGUUCUAAAGCUUGGCUCUGAUUCCAGUUCCUCUUCUUGUGAAGGGAGUGUUGGGCAAUAUCAAGGAUGAAGAGGAAUUCUUAGUCUGGCUGGGAGGAGGUAGAGACAAGAAGGGUAUUUCUAUUACUAUUUUUAUUUAUUUUUGUUACCCAACCCCAAGGCUCUGGGGCUCAGGUUCAACCUGGGGUUAGGGUAUUGAUGUCAGUACUAGGAUUAAGGCUGGGAAUAAUGAGCAGGGUUAAAGGAAGGCACGAGGUUUCCGCUUCAAGUGUGAGGUCUGGGUGGAGUCCUGGAUAGAGCAAGCUCUAAGACCCAGGGUGGCUAAGGACUCGGUUACUGUCAGCAGCCUGUUCUACCUGAGCUAGAACUCUCCUUAGCACUGGUUAUGCCAGGCAGUCCUGGGGUUUGCAGCAAGGGUCACAGCUGUGGGCUGGGUCAGGAGCUUGGCAGGGAACGGGCCUGGGAGACAGGGAGCGACACCGUGGGAAGUGGGCAGCUAUGCAGCGGCAGGCAGGAUCUGAAGCCAGCACCAAGGACAGCUCCAGGAGGGCGUCAAUAAGGAAGCUGCUGGCAUUUCCCACCUGCUUCCCCUCAAGCCAUGACAUCACAGUCACAGAUCCCCAAGAAGACCAAGGUAACGACAGAUCUUCCAGGACCCUGGUCUCUCGAUGUGGGUACCAGUUCGAAAGCUCAGGUUUGGAUAAUUGUUUUUCUAACAAUGCACUGCCAUUUCCAUGUAAUCCCCAGGUUCACUUGCCUCAGCAUGACUUUCUCCUCCUCUGAUCCCUCCCUUCCCAUAGGGAAAUUAGAAGUCUCCUUAUCUUUUUUUAUUCCCCUCAUCUUGUUGUCUGAGCCCUCGGAAUGAGUCCUGGAUGACUGGGUUUUUGUGGCAGGCACUCAGGGUAGACAGGUCUGUUCCUGUACCAUUGUCAGUAUGAACAGCAGACUCUCAAGAGAAGAAGCCUUGGAGAAAGCAACACUGUCAUCAUUUCCCAAAGGAACGGCUAGGGCUUGGUGAUGGGGUUCUUUCAUGGAGCAGGAUUCUGUCCUCCUGGAAUCUCACCGUGAGUGCCGGUGUAGAUGGGAAGAGAAGGGGGAAGUCUAUUUGACCUAGGUGUAAAUGCUGGGGUAUCCCGGUCCAUCUGCAGCACAAGGCUCAGCAUGCCAGCUCCUCAUUGAUCUCCAUGGCACUCACUGAGUGGAGCUAAGGAAGUUAAAGGUCCAGAGAGGUUAGGUCACAAGUCAGUCCCCUCAGGUCACAGAAAUAAAAGGUCCAGAAGUCAAAUAAAGCCCUCUGGAUGCAAGUCCUAGAAUCUUGGAAGGGAUUCAGAAAAGUCUUUCUGCAGGAUAUGAGUUCAGGGCUGCUGGAAUUGGGGACUGGGUAUUGGGGCGGGGGGAGGAGCUGAAAUGGAAGGAGAAGGUAUAGAAGAGAGACUGGCUGAUUGAGACAAUGGAAUGAAGCCGACAUGUCUCUAUGGGCUAGCCUGCGCUAGGCCUUUGCCCACUGUAGAGGGGCAGAGAACUUUCAAAGGGGGAAUUUCAGCUCUUCUCUCCAGCAGAUGAACUCAUGCUUGGAGUCUGCUCUCCUGUGAGAUAUAGGGGAUGGGGAGAACAGCAGCCAGAAGAAACCCCACUGACAUUGCUACGAGAGGCACAGUGAAGAUCACCUGUCUCUGUCAAGGGGCCUUCUACCAGCUCCUCCUAUGCCUUGUUCCCCUCUCCCCGCAGCCAGACUAUGAUCCUUGGUCACAAUUCUAAUCUCCUUCAUCCUCCAUCCUCUUCUUGCAAUUGGAGGAUCCUUCCUGGGAUUCUUAUGGGACUCCCUUCCCCGUAUUUCAUUUUCCAUGUCAAACUCCACCUCAUUGGGUCUGUGGGUUCCUUGGAAAUGGGUUGACAGAUGCUUAGCUCUACAGGGAUGCCACCAAAAUUCAAGGAAGCCAGUGCUAACAUUGAUUAUGCCUGGGCAUCAGGUGCCAUGCCAAGGUUCCCAUGGAUCCUCAGGGCUACCCCUCACCACCCUCAGCUCCUCAGCACCCAUUGCUUCUUGGUUUUGGAACAAGAGUGAAAGAGGUCCAGCCCAGCUUUCUGCCCCCUACCCUGAGGCCCUGUCCUAGUGCCUCUCCCUUUCCUGUCCGUAGGAAGCUCAAUCCUGCUCUUCUCAUCUCCCAGAUAGCAUGUGGUGAGCACAUGACCUCUAAAUUAGAGGCCCACUGGUGUCGUGACCCCGUUUCCUGCUUGUAUUUUGACUUCUAUUGUUUUUGUGUUGUCAGUUUUCAUGGAGGACUCAUUGUCUGCCUGCCUUUCACAGCUCCUCCUCCCGGGGGCUUCUAGCAUUCUCAGGCUGAGCCUGCAUCCUGGGGCAGAUCCCCAGCCCCAGCCCAUGUCAAUCAUGUCGCUGGUAGGCCUCAUGUGACAGAGGUGGCAUCUUCCAGCAUAUCCCUGGGCCCAGAGGACUACCAUCACAUUGAAGCCAUUCGAUGAGACCGUCUUCAGUUCACUGGUUGUUCAAAUGAAGCACAUCCCAGAGCAGCCUGCUGGGCUUAUUAAAACCCGAUGUUAGCCCAGAUCUGCCCCCAUGCUUGGUUUCCGACUCAGUAAAUAAGGUCUGGGGCCCGAGAGUCUGCAUUUCUAGUAAGUUCUCAAGUGGUACGGAUGCUGCUGGCUGGGGAGACCAUACUUUAAGAACCACUGCUGGUCUCAGAAGACUUACUUGCUCUUUUGAUUUAAGGGCAUUGAC